CAAAACGAUUGAUACGUAUCCGUGCACAUUUAAAAGUGGGUAGACGGUAGGGAUGGGCAAAAUUAUUCUUUUCCGGGAACUAGCGCCGCGUUGCCCACUCAAUGGAUCGCGCGUAUCGAACAGUCAGUGGCCUUCUUGGAAAAAUACCCAUACACUUAACAUUAUUUUGGAUGAUUACAAAGAAAUUACAUCAUAUAUGUAUGUUUGUUUUUUAAUAACAUUUGGAUUCACCAAUUUGCCUGGAUGGACACAUGGAAUAAAAUGAUUAUUGGCUAUUGUAACACUCCAAGGUAGGUAUAGUUUGCUAGAUGAAUAUGCUUAACUCUUUGCUAGUAUCAGAUGGUUAUACAAGUAUAACUACAAAGCCUUAAAGGUUGGGUAGGUGAUUUGCGAAACGCCAGCAGAUUUUGAAAAUACACAACUCAAAUGGUCCUACCCCCUCUCCUUCAACGCUGACUCUGACUCCACCCAUUCCAAGUACCUGGACGCGCAAUCAUGCACGAGCGCGAACAGAGAUGCGCGAGAGCGAGCCAGGCUAGCGUAGGUUUUCGUUUAACAACAUGGCACUACAUUCAGCUGUAAGUUGCACCCAGUACCGCGGGAAGUAGGAGUGCUGGGGGUGCUGCAACACCCCCUGUCCGAGGCCCUGUCUUAUCACAGAAAACGAUCAUUUCUAAAAACUCCGGCCAAAGUGGAGAUUUCUGAAAACGCCGGUUAUGUGUUGUCGUGUCAACGGGGAGAAACGGGAUUUUAGGUUCUGAAGCGUCACAUUAUGCACCACGAAAUGCUUAACGUCAUGUGAGCGCCCGCUGUACCGUAUUGGUCCGAAUAUAAACACAAACCCCAUUGUAAGACGACCUAUAUUUGGAAAAAAGAUUUGAAGACCAGAUCCGUUUUUUAUGAAUAAAUAAAUUGUAUUCAUUGAAAUAAUAUACGAAAAUAAAAAGGCAUCGAAUAAAACACUGCAUUGCCACUAAACAGUAGUGCAAAUAGGCCGUACUGAUGUGUACACCAAAGACUAUCCCUGACACUCCUCUGCCCCGCUGUGUUCGCUCUGGCUGUGGUCGCUCCGAACUGUUUCGGCCCGUGGCAAAGCGAGUCCUCCUCGCUGCUGUCCAAGGCAUUUUGAGACGCAGCAUUUAUUUAAUGCUCAUAUGACC
rnacentral:lncRNA from 1 species